UGCUCAGUCAGUGAAUGUCUCUCAUCCAGGAUGAACGUGCCGCUCUCUCUCUCUCUCUGGUUUGUUCUGCUAACGUCAACCUGCUGUGGAGGUGAUGAGUCGUCGACCACAGAUUAUUAUUAUGAUGAUAAUCCCACAGCGACGCCAGAUUAUGACUACAAUGCUACGUUUGACUACUACUUUGCCAACUGUAGCGUUAGUGGUGACUGCGUCAUCAGUGCAGUUUCAGACAUCGACAACGCGGCUGCAGCCAUUGGUCAGUUGACCUCUCUGAUCCCACUAGGAUUGGCUGUCGCUCACAUGUGCAACUGAUGGAGUGGGCGGAGUCAGAGAUCACAGGUAUGUGACCUGUGAUCUCUGAACACCUUCAGGACCAAACUACCAGCUGAUCAAUAACUGAUCACCAAUACCUUCAUGUGGUCGAUUAUUCGAUAUUUUUUUUUUUUGUUCAAUAACUUUUAUAAUACAAUAAAGAUUCAAUAACUGAUUAGUUGUUAGUAACCAUGGUAACAGACAUGUUUUGUUUCCUGUGUAAUAAAUGAUUCUCCUGCCACA